rnacentral:rRNA from 1 species
UACGUAGGGUGCAAGCGUUGUCCGGAAUUAUUGGGCGUAAAGAGCUCGUAGGCGGUCUGUUACGUCGGCUGUGAAAACCUGGGGCUCAACUCCGGGCCUGCAGCCGAUACGGGCAGACUAGAGUUCGGCAGGGGAGACUGGAAUUCCUGGUGUAGCGGUGAAAUGCGUAGAUAUCAGGAGGAACACCUGUGGUGUAGACAGCUUACUGGACCAUUUCUGACGCUGAGACACGAAAGCGUGGGUAGCAAACAGG